UGGGGAAUAUUGCACAAUGGGCGCAAGCCUGAUGCAGCAACGCCGCGUGAACGAUGAAGGUCUUCGGAUCGUAAAGUUCUGUUGCAGGGGAAGAUAAUGACGGUACCCUGUGAGGAAGCCCCGGCUAACUACGUGCCAGCAGCCGCGGUAAUACGUAGGGGGCUAGCGUUAUCCGGAUUUACUGGGCGUAAAGGGUGCGUAGGUGGUCUUUCAAGUCGGUGGUUAAAGGCUACGGCUCAACCGUAGUUAGCCUCCGAAACUGGAAGACUUGAGUGCAGGAGAGGAAAGUGGAAUUCCCAGUGUAGCGGGGAAAUGCGUAGAUAUUGGGAGGAACACCAGUAGCGAAGGCGGCUUUCUGGACUGCAACUGACCCUGAGGCACGAAAGCGUGGGUAGCAAACAGG
rnacentral:rRNA from 1 species